rnacentral:sRNA from 2 species
AAGGCCAUAAGAGCUUGCCAACUGCUGCAGAGGUUGACUCCCUCUCAAAUCAGAUCAACAAACAUCCACAACCCACACCAAUUAAAUUUGAGCAUCCCAAUCUUCUUGUCAAGUUUGAAUCAUCUGUGAUGAUUGAAGAAGCUCUAACUCUCUGUAUGCUUCAAUCAUCUUUUGCUGAGAAGAUAUCUGUCUCAGAGAUGUAUGAUUGAAGAGUUUAUCAAAACUCUGUGUUCAUUUAUAUGGAGCUUAUUCAGGAGAUACACUACAUGAUCAAUGGGAUUCUCUCAAUGAGUUGGAUAGAAGCAUUAUUUGCAACCAGCUACAGGAGAUUAUUUCUUCCCUUCAGCAAAUUGAGCC